GCUUUGGUGAUGGAGCUUGAGUUGGAGGAACUGGAAACGUGGGUCUAGGUGGGACUGCUUCCCUUAGGCAACCAUGUGCUCUGGACAUUGAUCUGAUUUCAUCUUCUCUGGGGCAGCUCUGUCAGGGAGAACUAUCAACACCAGUAGAGACAUUUCAGAGCUGGCAUGGAUCCUAGAGAAUGAAAAGACCAAAUAUUUCAUCAAGAUUAGUCUUCAGAAAAGGCAACACAAAGAACCACUAUAAAGGACCUCAGUAGCCUUCUAAUCCUUCUCUAGCUAUGUUUAAUUUCAUUCCUGUAAUAUCUAGAAAUAUGGACUUAAACUAACUUUUAGGCAUAGUGUAACUGUCAAGAAGAAUGAAAAUCUUGGGCAAGCCACU
rnacentral:lncRNA from 1 species